CUCGUGUCGUGAGAUGUUGGGUUAAGUCCCGUAACGAGCGCAACCCUUGUCCUUAUUUGCCAGCGGCUAGGCCGGGAACUAUAAGGAGACUGCCGGUGAUAAACCGGAGGAAGGCGGGGAUGAGGUCAAGUCAUCAUGGCCCUUAUCGAGGUGGGCUACAAACGUGCUACAAUGGGAGAUACAAUGGGUCGCUAAACCGCGAGGUCUCGCUAAUCCUCAAAACCUCUCUUAGUCCGGAUAGGAGUCUGCAACUCGACUCCUUGAAGUCGGAAUCGCUAGUAAUCGCGAAUCAGCAUGUCGCGGUGAAUACGUUCCCGGGCUUUGUACACACCGCCCGUCAAGUCAUGGAAGUGGGUUGCACCAGAAGUGGCUAGUCUAACCUUCGGGAGGACGGUCACCACGGUGUGAUUCAUGACUGGGACUAAGUCGUAACAAGGUAGCCGUAGGGGAACCUGUGGCUGGAUCACCUCCUUA
rnacentral:rRNA from 1 species